rnacentral:rRNA from 1 species
UAGGAAGAACACCAGUGGCGAAGGCGCUUCUCUGGACUGUAACUGACGCUGAGGCUCGAAAGCGUGGGGAGCAAACAGGAUUAGAUACCC